rnacentral:rRNA from 1 species
GGGGGCCCNCACAAGNGGUGGAGCAUGUGGUUUNAUUNGAAGCAACGNGAAGAACCUUANCAGGUNUUGACAUCCUUUGNCCACUNUAGAGAUAGAGCUUUCCCUUNGGGGACAAAGUGACAGGUGGUGCAUGGUUGUUGUCAGCUCGUGUNGUGAGAUGUUGGGUUAAGUCCCGCAACGAGCGCAACCCUUAUUGUUAGUUGCCAUCAUUUAGUUGGGCACUCUAGCGAGACUGCCGGUGACAAACCGGAGGAAGGUGGGGAUGACGUCAAAUCAUCAUGCCCCUUAUGACCUGGGCUACACACGUGCUACAAUGGGAAGUACAACGNGUUGCGAAGUCGCGAGGCUAAGCUAAUCUCUUAAAGCUUCUCUCAGUUCGGAUUGUAGGCUGCAACUCGCCUACAUGAAGCCGGAAUCGCUAGUAAUCGCGGAUCAGCACGCCGCGGUGAAUACGUUCCCGGGCCUUGUACACACCGCCCGUCACACCACGAGAGUUUGUAACACCCGAAGUCGNUGAGGUUACCUUUGAGCCAGC